rnacentral:rRNA from 1 species
CACGGAGCCGCAUGGCUCGGUGUGAAAAACUCCGGUGGUGCAAGAUGGACCCGCGUCUGAUUAGCUGGUUGGCGGGGUAACGGCCCACCAAGGCGACGAUCAGUAGCCGGCCUGAGAGGGUGAACGGCCACAUUGGGACUGAGACACGGCCCAAACUCCUACGGGAGGCAGCAG